AUGUGCGUCGGCCUCGCGCGUUGGAUCCCUCCACCGAUAGGCCAUUGCAAGAUCAAAGUGGAUGGGGCCACAACCAAAUCAGCUAGACGCGGCUCAGUGGGUGACAUUUGCCAGGCCGUUGAUGGUUCUUAUUUGGGAGCGUCAGCUAUAUUUUUUGAAGGAGUUUCAGACCCGGCGACUCUUGAAGCUCUAACUUGCAGAGAAGCUCUGGCUUUGGCAUCGGAUCUCAUGGAGACACAUGUGGUCGUUGCGUCGAAUUGCAAGGAAGUUGUAUCCAAUAUCUCUGAAGGCAACGGAGGAAAAAAGAUGCUCAUAUCAUUCGAGAGAUCAAGUUAA
rnacentral:rRNA from 1 species